rnacentral:ncRNA from 2 species
UGUGCAAAUCCACGCAAAACUG